CCUACGGGUGGCAGCAGUCGAGAAUCAUUCACAAUGGGGGCAACCCUGAUGCUGCGACGCCGCGUGGGGGAUUGAAGCUCUUCGGAUUGUAAACCCCUGUCAUGUGGGAGCAAAUUAAAAAGCUAGUACCUCAAUAUGAAGAGACUGCUAACUCUGUGCCAGCAGCCGCGGUAAUACAGAGGUCUCAAGCGUUGUUCGGAAUCACUGGGCGUAAAGGGUGCGUAUGCGGGUUCGUAAGUCGUGUGUGAAAGGCGCGGGCUCAACCCGCGGACGGCACAUGAUACUGGGAGACUAGAGUAAGGGAGAGGGAAGCGGAAUUCGCGGUGUAGCAGUGAAAUGCGUAGAUAUCGAGAGGAACACUGGUGGCGAAGGCAGGUUCCUGGACAUCAACUGACGCUGAGGCACGAAGGCGAGGGGAGCGAAAGGGAUUAGAUACCCGUGUAGUC
rnacentral:rRNA from 1 species